ensembl:lncRNA
GUUUUGAACAAAACUCUGCAGGACUGUUGCUCUCCAGGACUGACGCUGGCCACAUCUGCUCUAUAGGGUGUGCUGGACCAACAAAUUCUAUCCAUGCAGGCACCACCUCGCAACUUGUAGGACUUAAAGGAUCUGCUGCUAAUGUCUUAGUGCCAGACACCCCAGGACAUGUUCAGAGGUCUUGUGGAGUCCAUGGGCACGUUCAAGCUCACACCGGUGCGCAACGUUUUGCUACGUUAUCCGGGUUGAACGACACGUUUCCUGGAAACGGUGUGCAACGGUGUGCAACGGGUUUGAGAUGCGUUUUCUCUUGUUUGGUGGGUGUGUCAGAAAUGUCGGCCCAAUCAGCGGCAGCAUGUAUAUAAACCACGCGGUAUUAAAGAGACACCUCGCACAAUGGGUCCUAGUAAAGUAGUUUACAAAUGUGUCCGCUGCAGCUCGGUAUAUGCAACAAUUGAAGACAUUAGAAGACAUGUUUGCCCAAUCCCUUUGGAACAGGCUAGUGCAUCAAAUGGACCUAGUCAACUUCCACUAGGCCUACACAUUCCCGCUGCACCACUGCAUUUGCCCCCAGCUCCUGCACCACAGAAGUUGGCUCCUGCACCACAGAAGUUGGCUCCUGCACCACAGAUGUUGGCUCCUGCACCACUUAAUUUGUCUCCGACUACUGCACCACUUAAUUUGUCGGUUGCUGGACCAUCACCUGUCUGUGUUCCAAAGUGGGUACCAGUGUCAAACCCCCAAAUAAUGCAUAAAGAUACUAAGCCAUGGACGCACAAUGCAACAUUGCUUCUAAUUUCUCUGACAAAGCAAAUGGCUGAAGACUUUCAAUCUCCUGUAUUAAAGAAAGUAGAAGUGUGGAAAAAGGUAGCUGCACAAAUGCUGGCAAAAGGAUAUGACUUUGGAGCAGAGGCAUGUGACAAUAAGUUCAGGCAGUUAAAACACAGAUACAAAACAAUAGUGGACAGUAAGAAGAAGACUGGGAGUGGUGCCAGCAGCUGGGUCUUUUUCUCAUCAAUGGAGGACCUCCUGGCUGAUGAUCCUAGUGUGGAACCAGUCUUGAUCGUGUCAUCUUUUGCUGGAUCUUCAUCAACUUCAGGACCAUCAACUUCAGGACCAUCAAGUGAACGUAACAACAUCUUAAAAGAAUUUGUUUCUGCUUUGAAGAAGAAAUAG